CAGUCGCCGCGGUAAUACAGAGGGUGCGAGCGUUAAUCGGAUUUACUGGGCGUAAAGCGUGCGUAGGCGGUUUCUUAAGUCGGAUGUGAAAUCCCUGAGCUUAACUUAGGAAUUGCAUUCGAUACUGGGAAGCUAGAGUAUGGGAGAGGAUGGUAGAAUUCCAGGUGUAGCGGUGAAAUGCGUAGAGAUCUGGAGGAAUACCGAUGGCGAAGGCAGCCAUCUGGCCUAAUACUGACGCUGAGGUACGAAAGCAUGGGGAGCAAACAGGAUUAGAUACCCCUGUAGUCCCUGUCUCUUAUAC
rnacentral:rRNA from 1 species